GCUCAGGAUGAACGCUGGCGGCGUGCUUAACACAUGCAAGUCGAGCGAAGCACUUAAGUUCGAUUCUUCGGAUGAGGACUUUUGUGACUGAGCGGCGGACGGGUGAGUAACGCGUGGGUAACCUGCCUCAUACAGGGGGAUAACAGUUAGAAAUGGCUGCUAAUACCGCAUAAGACCACGGUACUGCAUGGUACAGUGGUAAAAACUCCGGUGGUAUGAGAUGGACCCGCGUCUGAUUAGGUAGUUGGUGAGGUAACGGCCCACCAAGCCGACGAUCAGUAGCCGACCUGAGAGGGUGACCGGCCACAUUGGGACUGAGACACGGCCCAGACUCCUACGGGAGGCAGCAGUA
rnacentral:rRNA from 1 species